AUACUGACGUCGUCUCGGAGCAAACUGUUGCGAGGAAUAACCACGAUUACGGCCGUAACUACGACUCGACUCGGCUCCGCUCGACGACGCGACUGGUACGCACGAGGUCUCCGUCAUGAGCGCACACACCGAUUUCCACCGCCUCUUCCUCCACCUCCUCGUCGCCGCCGUCGCUCGUCUCGUCCCGUCCGUCUCGUCUCGGCGCGCCGAUACACCGACCGCAGCAUACUAAACACACAAGGGAGAUUGUUAAACAUGGCCGUCGCCGCCGCGCCAUUAUUUGUCGCGUUCGCCGCAAGAGGCGCCACUUCUCGCGAUCCAUGCAACUGGAACACGUUGUGAAGCAGGAUAAGCGGCGGAAGGGAAAGGUGGUGAUGACGGAGGGUGAGGGAAAGAAACGAACAAGGGCGGGGGGGAGGUUAUCCCAGGCAAGAAGGGGGGCAAAACGCAAGGUGGACUCGUCUGAAGACGGGGGGCGUCAGCCGGUCGCGGUUACUCGAGCGGGCGAGCAGACUGACGCCAGCGCCUCUGCCUAGCGCCAGCGCCAGUCACCGACAAGUACUCCACCCUGAGGGUCAACAUUCCACGAUGAAUUUCAGUCAUGAUAUUUCUCGUAAAGGAGACAUCCGUUUCAACGUGUCAUCGUCAUCGAAUGAUGAAAGAAUAUUAAAGAAGAACGGUUAUCGGUCAGACAGAAAAGAAUUCGCUUUAUGGAGUCGCUUUCUAGAUGACGCUCCUCGAUCUGAAUAAUACCGAUAUAUUUCUUUGGUAUAUACUCACGCGAUUUUAGAUUCAGUCCACAGGAACGAAUACUUGCGAGUUCAUCGGUGAAUCUACAACAGAAUUUUGAAUUUAUACUUAGUAAUACUUCGUUUGUAUUCUUUGGUUGAAAUGAAAGUAUGUAGGUUAUGAAAACUGUUAAUAUCGAAGGUUAAAGUGAGUUAACCUUAACGUGAUUUUUAUUGUUAAAACUCUUUUAUAUAAUUUAUUGUUGUUAUUAAUCAAUUUUUUUUUAAUCAUUAAUAUUAAUAGUAUCGAUUAUUUUGAAAAUAACUCGAUUAAUAAAAAUUCAUAAAAGAAUCAAUUUUUAUGAUACUACAAGAUAUUUAUAAAUAUGUAUAAACUUUGUAUAUACUUUCUCGUAUUAAAUGUUUGAUAUUUCUUCCAUCAA